rnacentral:rRNA from 1 species
GACGAACGCUGGCGGCGUGCUUAACACAUGCAAGUCGAGCGGUAAGGCCCUUUCGGGGUACGACGAGCGGCGAACGGGUGAGUAACACGUGGGUGACCUGCCCUCAGCUCUGGGAUAAGCCUGGGAAACCGGGUCUAAUACCGGAUAUGACUCCAUGACGCAUGUUGUGGGGUGGAAAGCCUUGUGCGGCUGAGGAUGGGGCCCGCGGGCCUAUCAGCUUGUUGGUGGGGUGAUGGCCUACCAAGGCGACGACGGGUAGCCGGCCUGAGAGGGCGACCGGCCACACUGGGACUGAGACACGGCCCAGACUCCUACGGGA